AUGGCCUGGGCCCCUCCCCUCCUCGCGGUGCUCGCCCACAGCUCAGGUUCCCUGGUCCAGGCAGCGCUGACUCAGCCGCCCUCGGUGUCGGCGAACCCGGGAGAAACCGUCCAGAUCACCUGCUCUGGGAGUACCAACAGCUAUAUCUCUGGGGUCCAAGCCGAGGACGAGGCUGUCUAUUACUGUGGUGGCUAUGAAACUGGUGGUGACGCUGCCACAGUGACACAGAGCAGUGGGGAAGUGAUACAAAAACCUCCUGCCACCCCAGGGGACACUUAG